rnacentral:rRNA from 1 species
CCUACGGGCGGCAGCAGUGGGGGAUAUUGCACAAUGGGGGGAACCCUGAUGCAGCGACGCCGCGUGGGUGAAGAAGCGCCUCGGCGCGUAAAGCCCUGUCAGCAGGGAAGAAAAUGACGGUACCUGAAGAAGAAGCCCCGGCUAACUACGUGCCAGCAGCCGCGGUAAUACGUAGGGGGCAAGCGUUAUCCGGAUUUACUGGGUGGAAAGGGGGCGCAGACGGCGAUGCAAGCCAGGAGUGAAAGCCCGGGGCCCAACCCCGGGACUGCGCUUGGAACUGCGUGGCUGGAGUGCAGGAGGGGCAGGCGGAAUUCCUGGUGUAGCGGUGAAAUGCGUAGAUAUCAGGAGGAACACCGGUGGCGAAGGCGGCCUGCUGGACGGCAACUGACGUUGAGGCCCGAAAGCGUGGGGAGCAAACAGGAUUAGAUACCCCAGUAGUC